UCUCAUCUGGCUGUCAUCUCUCUCGUUCCAGGUUCCUCUAAAAGAGGGAGAGAGCCUGAGACCGCUUGAAGAGCUAUCCUCUGUCCGCACCCGCCCACCUGCUGCAGCUGCACCCGAACUGCUGGGAACGUGAGAAAGUCGUGGCAUGGGGGAUCACAGUCUGCCUUCUGCCUCAACAGCUGGGCUCUCCUCCAGCUGGUGACAUUCAGGGUCUGGAGGGCCAGGACCACCUCCCCUCAUCCGUACGCCAGUGCCCCGUCUUUGGGCCUUUCACGGAGACAUGG
rnacentral:lncRNA from 1 species